AUUGAACGCCGGCGGCAGGCCUAACACAUGCAAGUCGAACGGUAACAGGAAGCAGCUUGCUGCUUUGCUGACGAGUGGCGGACGGGUGAGUAAUGUCUGGGAAACUGCCCGAUGGAGGGGGAUAACUACUGGAAACGGUAGCUAAUACCGCAUAACGUCGCAAGACCAAGAGGGGGACCUUAGGGCCUCUUGCCAUCGGAUGUGCCCAGAUGGGAUUAGCUAGUAGGUGGGGUAACGGCUCACCUAGGCGACGAUCCCUAGCUGGUCUGAGAGGAUGACAGCCACACUGGAACUGAGACACGGUCCAGACUCCUACGGGAGGCAGCAGUGGGGAAUAUUGCACAAUGGGCGCAAGCCUGAUGCAGCCAUGCCGCGUGUAUGAAGAAGGCCUUCGGGUUGUAAAGUACUUUCAGCGGGGAGGAAGGGAGUAAAGUUAAUACCUUUGCUCAUUGACGUUACCCGCAGAAGAAGCACCGGCUAACUCCGUG
rnacentral:rRNA from 1 species